rnacentral:rRNA from 2 species
UACGUAGGGGGCAAGCGUUGUCCGGAAUGAUUGGGCGUAAAGGGCGCGUAGGCGGCCCGGUAAGUCUGGAGUGAAAGUCCUGCUUUUAAGGUGGGAAUUGCUUUGGAUACUGCUGGGCUUGAGUGCAGGAGAGGUAAGUGGAAUUCCCGGUGUAGCGGUGAAAUGCGUAGAGAUCGGGAGGAACACCAGUGGCGAAGGCGACUUACUGGACUGUAACUGACGCUGAGGCGCGAAAGUGUGGGGAGCAAACAGG